UACGGGGGGUGCGAGCGUUGCUCGGAAUCACUGGGCGUAAAGCGCACGUAGGCGGAUCUUUAAGUCAGGGGUGAAAUCCUGGAGCUCAACUCCAGAACUGCCUUUGAUACUGGGGAUCUCGAGUCCGGAAGAGGUGAGUGGAACUCCGAGUGUAGAGGUGAAAUUCGUAGAUAUUCGGAAGAACACCAGUGGCGAAGGCGGCUCACUGGUCCGGUACUGACGCUGAGGCGCGAAAGCGUGGGGAGCAAACAGG
rnacentral:rRNA from 1 species